ensembl:lncRNA
ACUGUAAAGAAACAGGGCUUUCUUCCGCUUUUUCUAGCAGCAAAGUGCUUUGUUAGGGAACUGUCUUAUCAGUAGCUUUCUGCACUCCCAGCAGCAUCAACAGUCCUCAGGGCUCCCCAUACAUUUCAACAAACAUUUUCUGCUGCUGCAUGAAUACUCGGAAACCUUCUGGCUCCAGCAAAAGGAAAAUGUGGGUUGUGGCCAACAUUUUUAGCCACAGAAAACCAGAAAUGUCGGAUACGCCUGAUACUUCUGACUCCAGCAAAGAAGAGUGGGUUAUACCCAAUGGUUCUGGCUCUAACAGAGAAGUGUGUUGUACAUCCAACAUUUCUGGCUCCAGAGGAAGAGAAUCAUGGCAUACACGCGAUGUUUCUGGCAACAGAAGAAGAAAGGCAUUGGAAAGACAGUGUGAGGACACUGAUCUCAGAAAGACAACUGCAGAAGGCAGCAGACUUACAUCUGACACCUCACAGCAGCCACUAGCCUAUGGAGACCAGACUUCUAACAUGAAGGAAAUGUUAGAAAUUAUGAAAGAGAUGGACAACAAAAAAACAAAGGAAAUGUUUGAAAUGAUAAAAGAGCUCGACAAUAAAAAGAUGAAGCAAGUGUUUGAAAUGAUAAAAGAGAUGGACAAUAAAAAAACACAGGAAAUGUUCACAAUGGUAAAAGAGAUGGACAACAAAAAAACAAAGGAAAUGUUUGAAAUUAUGAAAGAGGUGGACAGCAAGAACACAAAGGAAAUAAUCGAAAGGAUGAAGAAUAUGGACCAAAAAAUAACAAUUUUGUCUGACACUAUUCAGUAUCUACUGAACCUUCUGGAUAGUCACAACAGAGAACUUCCUGAAAGGGUAAUCCAAUUACUGUGUAAGGAGAAAGAGGAAAAUGAGAUGCUGAAAGAGAAGACAAAAAAGCUACAGGAAAGAAUGCAAGAGAUGUUGACUAAAGCAAUGGCCACGCACCAACACUCUGAGGACAUCAGUGACCCUUCACGUUUGUCUGCAGUGCUGGAGAGAUACGAGAUGCUCCGGCUACAGGAAUGGGAGAAAGUCAGGAGCUCCAUGCCCUACCGUUGGACCUAUGAAGAGGGCAGCCGCAUCAUUAGGAGGGUGUUUGAUGCCUGUGAAAAAGAUAUACAGAAGAGAGCAGAUGACAUACUUAAAGUUCUUGACAUUCCACCUUCAAAUAAGGUGAUGAUGCAUGACAUAAUGAAGCUGCUCAGGCAACAGUAUCACCAAAACUCAAUGGUUUACAAGAAGAUUGUUCAAGAAGCUGCCAUUCACAUAAGAACUGAAAAUGAAACACAGUUCCUGAUGCAGUGCUGUCAAAUUUAUUGUCUACUGCUUCUUCAGGACCCACCAGUUAAAGCUGAGUGGAAGAUGAACAGAAACCAUUUAGAGCACGUGGACAAGAAAGAUGAAGUGCACUGGCAAAAAGCAUCACUUCUGUGGCCCAUAAUGAAACGUGGGGAAGAAAUUAUUGUGAAAGGUGUAGUCUGGGAUCAAAGGAAAAUGACUUGAGAGUCGGGCUAAUUACUUACUUAGCCAUAAGAAGAUGAAACAGCUGCUAUGCGAUACUCUGCUUUUCUUUCUCCCAUUAAUUGCCUACUUUUCAGAGCUAGUAAGUUAGACAUCCCCCACAUGGGACAUCUAGGAUAAAUCAUCAUUAACAAACCUGUAUUAAAAACUGAAGCUAUUCCAAUUGUCUCCUCACAAAGGCCACCUGCCUGUUAGCACUCCCCUGCUUUCCCACAUCUGUACAAUUUACCUUUCCCAAAGUCCUUCAGCUACACACGUGCCACAGCACUGGACCAAAGAAAUCUACAAGUUGUAUUCCGUGGCAUAAUGGGGAUGCAAUGAGGCAAAUGCAUGUUUAUGUUAUUUGGUGUGACACAGUAUUCUGUGAGCAACUUGAGAAUUACCAAAUAAAAAAGACUUUAAAUUC